GACGAACCGUACGAACGUUAUUCGGAAUCACUGGGCUUAAGGGGUGCGUAGGCUGCGCAGCAAGUUGGGUGUGAAAUCCCUCGGCUUAACCGAGGAACUGCGCCCAAAACUGCUGUGCUCGAGGGAGGUAGAGGUGAGCGGAACUUAGGGUGGAGCGGUGAAAUGCGUUGAUAUCCUAAGGAACACCGGUGGCGAAAGCGGCUCGCUGGAUCUCUUCUGACGCUGAGGCACGAAAGCUAGGGUAGCGAACGGG
rnacentral:rRNA from 1 species